GGGUGAACACAGUAAAUGCUGAAAUGAUCACCUACAUGUGCCCUGGAGGGGACGGGCCUGUAAAACCCUUUUUAGAAAAGAUGAGCAGGGCAUAUGAGUACAUUAUUAAAAAUUCUCAAAGGAUGCAAUUGCCAGAAGCUCCCAGCCCAUCUCCAACUCCACAGUCUACCUGCUCUCCCUCCCAACCCUCUUCUCCUCCUCAUCCUCCAGACCCUUCCACCUUUCUCCCAUCUACUUCUCAUCCCCAAAUGGACUAUGAGGAGGAGACUUACACCCUAACCCUCGUCCCUGUCCAGCCUCCAAGCACCGCCUCAGCAUCUCCCUCUCAAAAAACCAUGACUGAAAGUGUGUCUGCACAGUGCUCCCGCUCUCCCACACCUACUAUCUCCCUGACCAGUGCAACAGGUGAAGGGAAGAAAAAGAGGAAGACAGGUAUUUUUUGUUUUUGUGCUACAGCCUACUCAUCAAA